GUUAAAUAGGUAAAUUAGUAGAAGUGGACAAUAGAGGUAAAAAUCAACAUGCUUGGGCAACUCAAAGCAUUAAGUUGAAAUGGAGUUUCGCUCGCUACUCGCUGCUCCUGCUCUCUCCCUAUCUUCUCUGUUCAUCCUCAUCCAUCUGUUUCUUCUUCCUGCUUAGGGUUUCCAAUUCAUUUUGUGCUCCCCAUUCUCGAAUCUCGAUUAGGGUUUCCCACUCUCACCUUCACAAAUGGAUGAGUCUUCGCUGCAACUUAUCUUCGAAACACACAUUUGCCCUACCAAGGAUUCAAAUCCCUUCUGGGUUUUCAUGCUCCCCAUUCACGAUUAGGGCUUUGCACUCUCACAUUCACUGCAACUUAUCUUCAAUCGGCGCUACAUUCAGCAUUGCCCAACCAAGAAUUCAAAUUCUUUCGGAAUAUGCUGGAUUUCUAUGGUUUCAGCACUACUGGCCGACAAGAAUCUGAAAUUUAUAUAUGUCGAGCAGACAUUUUUCCAGAGAUGGUGGGCAGAUCAGAGUGAGAUUGUUUAGGAUGUAGUCAAGAAACUAGUUAGCUCGGCUCAAUUAGAAUUCAUAAAUGGGGGCAUGUGUAUGCAUGAUGAGGCAGCAACACACUACAUCGACAUGAUUGAUCAAACAACUCUUGGGCAUAGAUUUAUAAAGGAAGAAUUUGGUGUCACUCCUAUAGUUAGUUGGCAAAUUGAUGAUCCCUUUGGCCAUUCUGCCGUGCAGGCUUACCUAUUGGUAGCUUGUUAGCUGCAUUUUAUUAUAUCAAGAAAUCCUUUUUGAGGCAACACAGAAAAUUUAAAUCACAGUCUAUUUAGAGUCACAUUCCGAAGGAGAGCUUUUACGUGGAGAUUACCAAGAUAGAGCCGAGCGUAAAAUUGAAAAGAUCUUGAAGUUGUCGGUCAGGGUUGUAAAAGCCUUGGUUCAUCUGCUCAGAUUUUUUCUGGUGCUUUCCCUGAGAACUAUGAACCUCAAUCUUUGUUUCCACUUUGAAGUUAAUGAUGCUUCCCCAAUAGUUCAAGAUGAUAGUAACUUGUUUGAUUACAAUGUUCAAGAUUGAGUGAAUGACUUUAUUGCUGCAGCAGUAUCUCAGGAGGCUACUACUAGAUGAUUCUAGAGGUGUUGCAGAGGGCCAGACGGUUUAAAUGAGACUGUUUUUUUUUAAUAUAAUGGUAGCAAGAUGACUGUGUCCUUUAUUUCCCUCUCCCACCCUUCCCACUAAUAUAUCGGAUUUUGGGUUUAGCCAAGUUCAUUCAUGGCCAGCAAGGGAGAAACCUCCCAACACUCGAGGCUAUAGAAAAGUUGACGUAACUAAUUAAUUCUAAAAUGUUGAUAAACAAAUUAAUAAAUUAAAUUAACUUGAAACUAACCACUUAAUUAAAUUAAUCAGGUAACUCAUAACUAACUGUUGUGGGUUAACCACGCACGGCCGACCUGGAUGAAACGAGACCAGAAGAGUCGACCUGACAAGUUUGCUCCGACAUCUUUGAUGGACAAGGAAACCGUCAAGCCUCAUCCUCCAAGACAGGGGAUGGACCGGUAACUGCCAAGGAUAGACAGUCGCUCGACAGGCCCCUGCCCGAGCAGUGAAAUACACUGAUGGGACUUACAUCUACUCCAUCUACCGCUAUAAAUACACCACUCACCCAUGGCCCAGGUAUGAAAAACCUGUCUGACCUAUUGAGCUCGGCUUAAAUACUGACUUGAGUGUCGGAGUGGCUUACCUCCUUGCAGGUACCCAAAAAAUCGUUCUAAGUACCGCCAGCCGACCUCUGAGCUCGUCUUCCAUACCUCAGCAGGAUUUUGCAUCAAUAAUAAUAUAAUGGUUCUUUUUUCCCAGAUCACUAGAUUCAAGGAAAAUUAUAUUAUAGAAUCGACCCAUUAGGAGAGGGGCAGUAGGUUAUUUCUCCCCUUUUCCCAGCGUCGCUGAACAGGUGAAUAUUGGAGGAAGGGAAAAGGAUAAGUUAUAAUAUUAUUAGAUUAUUCUUUGCUGCAUCGCUAACUUCAAACACCCAUCUUCAUAAGCGUUUCUAUCUAAAAUUCAACUUGUUGCUUUCUUUCUUGUUUUCAUCAGGAACUUCAUUCUGGUGUAAGUUUUGCUUCAGUGAAUUUAUUAUAAUAAGCUUGAUUGACUAUACUUUUUUCUGUUCCCUUCAGAGUUCAGAUGACAUGCAAAUAUUUGUGCUUCUUUUUUUUUUUUAAUAAACCUCAAGUAUAUUCCGUUACUCCUUACACAAUAUUUUGUAUAUUAGUAAUCGUGAAUGGCUUUAGUUCCUCUUGAUUUUUUGGAUCAAUUUUUAGAAAGGAAAUUGC